rnacentral:lncRNA from 1 species
AUAUAGUGGAAUACUGAAGCCUCCUCAGCAAAGUGCAUUUCAUUUUCUUUUUUUUUAAUAAUUAUUAAGUAAUCAUUUAAUUCAUUUUAUUUGGCAAUGUUUAUUUCAUUUUGUUUACUCAACUUACAAAAUCCCUUUUUCACUCAUUUCAACUCCAAAUUUCAUGCCAAUUUUUGCAUCAUGAUCAUAAAAACGUCUAGUUUUUUAUCAUUAUUUUUACAGAUUUUUUGGAUCAGGGAAUUUUAA